CAUCAUAUCUAAAUACCGGUUCCUGUAACGAUCACCGAAGUUAAGCAACGUCGAGUCUAGUCAGUACCUAAAUGGGUGACCGCUUGGGAAUAACAAGUGCUGUAAG